rnacentral:misc_RNA from 1 species
GAUGAAGAACGUAGCGAAAUGCGAUACGUAAUGUGAAUUGCAAAUUCAGUGAAUCAUCGAGUCUUUGAACGCACAUUGCGCCCCCUGGUAUUCCGGGGGGCAUGCCUGUCCGAGCGUCAUUGCUGCCCUCAAGCACGGCUUGUGUGUUGGGCCCCGUCCUCCGAUUCCGGGGGACGGGCCCGAAAGGCAGCGGCGGCACCGCGUCCGGUCCUCGAGCGUAUGGGGCUUUGUCACCCGCUCUGUAGGCCCGGCCGGCGCUUGCCGAUCAACCCAAAUUUUUAUCCAGGUUGACCUCGGAUCAGGUAGGGAUACCCGCUGAACUUAAGCAUAUCAAUAAGCGGGGA